rnacentral:rRNA from 1 species
CUAGCGACUUCAGAGUUUGAUCCUGGCUCAGGACGAACGCUGGCGGCGUGCCUAACACAUGCAAGUCGAGCGAGAAUCUCAUUAAUGAUUCCUUCGGGAUGAUUUAGUGAGAGGAAAGCGGCGGACGGGUGAGUAACGCGUGAGUAACCUGCCUUCAGGAGGGGGACAACAUUCCGAAAGGGAUGCUAAUACCGCAUGACAUACAUUUGAGGCAUCUCAGAUGUAUCAAAGAUUUUAUCGCCUGAAGAUGGACUCGCGUCUGAUUAGAUAGUUGGUGGGGUAACGGCCUACCAAGUCGACGAUCAGUAGCCGAACUGAGAGGUUGAUCGGCCACAUUGGGACUGAGACACGGCCCAG